UGAUAUAUAUGGGCUUUUUGUUGUUGUUGUGGUGGUGAAAUAUUUUAUUUAAGCCUCAAGUUAAUAUUUAUGUUUACUUGACAGAAAAUUUGUUGCUUGAGCGUGCUUCCUUUCGUCCUUUUACUUGUUUAAGUCCUCCUCUAGCCCUGUCAGACGUGGAGUACUUAUCAACUGGUGUAGCAAGCAAAUCGAAGCCAUGCACCAAAUUUUACAGAUGUUAAACAAAGAGCAUUUCCACAUAUCGGGGAGCAUUCCUUAAGGCGUUCAAAUCAAAGGUUUAAUGAUAUGAUGCUCAACAAAGCUUUACACCUCUUUUUUUCACAAACGUGACAUUUGGUGAGUAGGCUGGCACAGUGACCAAAUUUACAAUUUAGUCUCUAUGGAUUGGAUGAUUUUAUCAAACCAUAAGGACUAUUUAGAGAUUUAUCAAAUCAUAAGGAUGAAGUUCUAACUUUUACAACCAAAUGGAAUAAAUUUAUAGUGACCAAAUUUAUAAUUCAACUAUUUAUUCUCCUUUAUUCUUUUAG